rnacentral:piRNA from 1 species
UGGAUUUUUUUUUCUUGGAUUCGAAGUGC